rnacentral:rRNA from 1 species
CCCUUAGAUGUCCUGGGCUGCACGCGCGCUACACUGGCACAUUCAACAAGUGUACCUGUUCUGAAAGGAUUGGGUAAUCUCUUGAAAGUGUGCCGUGCUAGGGAUAGAUUAUUGCAAUUAUUAAUCUUAAACGAGGAAUUCCUAGUAGGUGCAAGUCAUCAGCUUGCGCUGAUUACGUCCCUGCCUAUUGUACACACCGCCCGUCGCUCCUACCGAUUGGCUGAUCCGGUGAGCACUGUGGACUGCAUGCUUGUAGCAUGUGGGAAAUCUUGCGAACCUUAUCAGCUAGAGGAAGGAGAAGUCGUANCA